rnacentral:rRNA from 1 species
AUUGAACGCUGGCGGAAUGCUUUACACAUGCAAGUCGAGCGGCAGCACGGGGGCAACCCUGGUGGCGAGCGUCGAACGGGUGAGUAAUACAUCGGAACAUGCCCAGUCGUGGGGGAUAACACUUCGAAAGAAGUGCUAAUACCGCAUACGUCCUGAGGGAGAAAGCGGGGGAUCGCAAGACCUCGCGCGAUUGGAGUGGCCGAUGUCAGAUUAGCUAGUUGGUGGGGUAAGGGCCUACCAAGGCAACGAUCUGUAGCUGGUCUGAGAGGAUGAUGAGCCACACUGGGACAGGGACGCGGACCAGACUCAUACGGGAGGCAGCAGUGGGAAAUUUUGUACAAGGGGGGCAACCCUGAUCCAGCCAUUCCGCGUGAGUGAAGAAGGCCUACGGGUUGUAAAGCUCUUUCGGCAGGAACGAAAAGGCGAGCUCUAACAUAGCUAGCUAAUGACGGUACCUGAAGAAGAAGCACCGGCUAACUACGUGCCAGCCGCCGCAGUAAUAC